GGGGGGGGGGGGGGGGGGGCGGGAGGCGUGGGAGGCGGGCGGACGGACGAGGAGCUUGCUUCUCUGAUGUUAGCGGCGGACGGGUGAGUAACACGUGGAUAACCUACCUAUAAGACUGGGAUAACUUCGGGACACCGGAGCUAAUACCGGAUAAUAUUUUGAACCGCCUGGUUCAAAAGUGAACGACGGUCUUGCUGUCACUUAUCGAUGGGUCCGGGCUGCCUUAGCUAGUUGGUAAGGUAACGGCUGACCAAGGCAACGAUGCAUAGCCGACCUGAGAGGGUGAGCGGCCACACUGGAACUGAGACACGGUCCAGACUCCUACGGGAGGCAGCAGUAGGGAAUCUUCCGCAAUGGGCGAAAGCCUGACGGAGCAACGCCGCGUGAGUGAUGAAGGUCUUCGGAUCGUAAAACUCUGUUAUUAGGGAAGAACAUAUGUGUAAGUAACUGUGCACAUCUUGACGGUACCUAAUCAGAAAGCCACGGCUAACUACGUG
rnacentral:rRNA from 1 species